GAUGAACGCUAGCGGCAGGCCUAACACAUGCAAGUCGAGGGAGAAGCCCUUCGGGGCAGAAACCGGCGCACGGGUGCGUAACGCGUAUGCAACCUACCUUUUACAGGGGGAUAGCCCGAAGAAAUUUGGAUUAAUACCCCAUAAUAUUAUUUGAUGGCAUCAUUGGAUAAUUAAAACUGAGGUGGUAAAAGAUGGGCAUGCGUCCUAUUAGCUAGUUGGAGUGGUAACGGCACCCCAAGGCUACGAUAGGUAGGGGUCCUGAGAGGGAGAUCCCCCACACUGGUACUGAGACAGGGACCAGACUCCUACGGGAGGCAGCAGUGAGGAAUAUUGGUCAAUGGUCGGAAGACUGAACCAGCCAUGCCGCGUGCAGGAAGAAUGCCUUAUGGGUUGUAAACUGCUUUUAUAUGGGAAGAAUAAGGAGUACGCGUACUUUGAUGACGUACCAUAUGAAUAAGCUC
rnacentral:rRNA from 1 species